rnacentral:rRNA from 1 species
UACGGGGGGGGGCAAGCGUUGUUCGGAAUUACUGGGCGUAAAGGGCUCGUAGGCGGCCAACUAAGUCAGACGUGAAAUCCCUCGGCUUAACCGGGGAACUGCGUCUGAUACUGGAUGGCUAGAGGUUGGGAGAGGGAUGCGGAAUUCCAGGUGUAGCGGUGAAAUGCGUAGAUAUCUGGAGGAAUACCGGUGGCGAAGGCGGCAUCCUGGACCGACAUUGACGCUGAGGAGCGAAAGCCAGGGGAGCAAAGCGGG